rnacentral:rRNA from 1 species
CCUACGGGUGGCAGCAGUGGGGAAUAUUGCACAAUGGGGGAAACCCUGAUGCAGCAACGCCGCGUGAGUGAUGACGGCCUUCGGGUUGUAAAGCUCUGUCUUCAGGGACGAUAAUGACGGUACCUGAGGAGGAAGCCACGGCUAACUACGUGCCAGCAGCCGCGGUAAUACGUAGGUGGCGAGCGUUGUCCGGAUUUACUGGGCGUAAAGGGAGCGUAGGCGGACUUUUAAGUGAGAUGUGAAAUACUCGGGCUCAACUUGAGUGCUGCAUUUCAAACUGGAAGUAUAGAGUGCAGGAGAGGAGAAUGGAAUUCCUAGUGUAGCGGUGAAAUGCGUAGAGAUUAGGAAGAACACCGAUUGCGAAGGCAGCAUACCGGCGCCCGACUGACGCUGAGGCACGAAAGCGUGGGGAUCGAACAGGAUUAGAUACCCCGGGUAGUC